GUGCUUGCUUCAGCAGCACACAUACUAAAACUGGAGUGAUACAGAGAAGAUUAGCAUGGUCCCUGCGCAAGAUGACAUGCAGAUUCGUGAUGUGUUACAUAUUGAG